CAGCAGCAGCCACGGUAAUACGUAGGGUGCGAGCGUUAAUCGGAAUUACUGGGCGUAAAGCGUGCGCAGGCGGUUCGUUAAGACAGAUGUGAAAUCCCCGGGCUUAACCUGGGAACUGCAUUUGUGACUGGCGAGCUAGAGUAUGGCAGAGGGGGGUAGAAUUCCACGUGUAGCAGUGAAAUGCGUAGAUAUUCGGAAGAACACCAGUGGCGAAGGCGGCUCACUGGCUCAUACUGGACGCUGAGGUGCGAAAGCGUGGGGAGCAAACAGGAUUAGAUACCCCGGUAGUCCCUGUCUCUUAUAC
rnacentral:rRNA from 1 species